UGGGGAAUCUUGGACAAUGGGGGCAACCCUGAUCCAGCCAUGCCGCGUGAGUGAUGAAGGCCUUAGGGUCGUAAAGCUCUUUCGCCUGUGAAGAUAAUGACGGUAGCAGGUAAAGAAACCCCGGCUAACUCCGUGCCAGCAGCCGCGGUAAUACGGAGGGGGUUAGCGUUGUUCGGAAUUACUGGGCGUAAAGCGCACGUAGGCGGACCAGAAAGUUGGGGGUGAAAUCCCGGGGGCUCAACCCCGGAACUGCCUCCAAAACUAUUGGUCUAGAGUUCGAGAGAGGUGAGUGGAAUUCCAAGUGUAGAGGUGAAAUUCGUAGAUAUUUGGAGGAACACCAGUGGCGAAGGCGGCUCACUGGCUCGAUACUGACGCUGAGGUGCGAAAGUGUGGGGAGCAAACAGGAUUAGAUACCCUGGGUAGUCCACACCGUAAAACGAUGAAUGCCAGUCGUCGGGUAGCAUGCUAUUCGG
rnacentral:rRNA from 1 species